rnacentral:lncRNA from 1 species
CACGUGUGUUACAAUCUUGUGGUCUGAAACCAACAGGCGCAGGCCGCAGGUCAUGCCAGAGGAGGAAGAAGGUCAUUGAGUGGCUGACAAUGGAGCUCCACAUGUCAGAGUGUGUUGUAACAAAUGGACACAAAAUCAUAAUGGUACUCAGCAAAGACACGAUUGAAGGAUGUGUUUGAGCAAAAGACACGAAAUAACGGUGUUCAAGAGCAAAUUUCCCCAUACGGAAAAGAUGCUCGAUCCGAAAAAUAACCGUUACUUCAAUGGGUUAGGAAAAAAAAACUGUCCGGAAACAAGGUCCGAUCUGAAUUUUUUUCGGGGAUCCGAAUCCGCGGAGGAGAAACCCAAUAUCUUCGGUGUCCAAUCUUGUCGAAACAGGUGACCCGAUCUCUUGAAAACGGUUGGUUUCACCCGUGCUUGUCCAGAAGAGCCUUCUUCCUCCUGAAGCCGCCGCUGAUCCAGCCUCCUCAGGAUGCCGCCGCCGGCCCGCUGCUAGCUCGCGCGCCCCGCCCCUGCUGACUGCACCUCGCUGACUGCAACCAACUUAGUACUCAAACAUUUAAUUUGAUUAUUUCUCAGUUGGCGAGGUAGCAAAGAAGAUCUAGAGGUAAAUCAUCAAUCAUGGAUAAGAAAAAGAAAAUAGACAAAAAUGAAAAAAUUCCGCGACUGGAUUGAGAAGUGAGAGAGAAGGUUGAGAUAUCGAUGCUCUGCUUCGGUGCAUAGCCGGAAAGAAAAUGGAGAAAGAAAAGAAUAAAAAAUGAAUGGGGCCCACUAAAGAUUAGAGGCUAAGCACUAAGCUGCGUUACCAAUUCUUUGGGUAACGUUUUCGCCGUAGCUGGCGAAGUGAGGACGGGCUGGGCGAGCCAAAUUUUUUUAAUUUUUUUUGAGAGGUGGUGAGCCAAUUUUUCGGUAUGGCUCAUUUUGGUUGUAAAACAAACGGGUCCUUUCUGUUUGGCUCGGUCCGUUGGUGAGAUAUAAGUUAACUCUCUCUACCCAGUCUAAUAAUAGCUCAGCCCGUAAAAGAGAAAAGCAUUUCAACACCAUUCGCCCCCCUAUAGUCCCUCCCUACCUCCUCUUUUCUCCAGUCUCCUGAAUCCUGAUCCCCCCAGUCUUCCGAUUCCCCACUGCUAACCCUAGCCGCCAGGCAUUACCGGACAGCCAGGUCGGCGCCACCAUGCCCCCCACGCCGCCUCUAGUCCUAACUCGGCAACUCCUGACCGCCUGCUCGCCAUCGUGCGGCAGAGCCGCUUACAGGAACCGCUGGCGAGAAGACCCCUCAUCGGCUCCUCUCUGGAUACAUCGGCUCCUCUCUGGAUCUCGUUCAUCUACUGAGUCCGGCGCAAUGGUGUUCCGCCGUGUCACUGGGCGACCCUAGGCCUCGGCGGCGGCAACCGAGCCGUGCCGGCAUCCAGAUCCGGUCUUUCCCCGUUACCAGUGACAUAAAGCUUCCGCCUUUCCGAUCUUGGGCCUCGCCGGCGGCAACCGUGAAGGAGCUUCGACGGCGCUGUUGCAUGCGUUGGUGCAUCGCAACGGUGCUACUGCGCCUGUAGAUGAUGAAGAGGGAGAGGGCGCCUUCGGCAACCGUCGCAGGUCACCAUGCUUCUUCUCUAUACUCUUUUUAUGAAUUGUUUUUGGAUUUUUUUUCAAAUUAAACAUUUCACAUCUCCUUUUCGCCACAUUGUUUUAGGUUUUUUUUGGAGCGAGUGAGAUUUUAUUUACUAACUCUGUUCUUUUUUCCAAAAAACUUUGAACGAUAGAUCAGACUCUGCUUAUCUUUUCUAUGUCAAUACAAUCGUGCUAUGUUAUUUAUUUUUGCCUAAACCUAAUUUUUUAGGUCGAAUAUUGGGUUCUCUUUUGAGAAUCCAAACUGGCAAGUCCAGACAUUCUUGGCCCGUUCACCGCCGAGUUACACAAGUGUUUUCAUUGUGGGCCGACUAAUGUGUACGGGCUUUCGUGGGCUGACUCGAGAAUACUAGCAAGCACAUUUAGAUUCCUCUGUAAACACCAGUAUCCCAUCCCUAAAAGAAAAGGAACACAUACAACAGUCAGCCGUGUGCCCGUGUCACACUAAUCUACCCUCUAUAAAAACCGGCGACUCCAUCUCUUUUUUCCUUAUUUCUCUGGAAUUUCAUUGCCAUCCCCCUCCUCCCCAUCAGCUCUCUCCGCUUCUCCAUGCUUGGCGUUCCUCCCUAUAGCCCAUCUCGCCCAAUCCCCAUCGCUCCCAUCCCAUCCCCAUACCGGUCUCUUCUCUCGUGUUCAUCCCAACCAGGGGGGUGUCUCAAGCUGGCGAAAUGCCUUCCUUUGCCUCUUCCCGGGUACUGUUUCUUCUGUUCUAAGUCUAUGCGCGUCUUUGUUUGAUCUGGUUAGGGUUUGGUAGUUAGGCUUGUGAUUUGAUACCUGUUUGAUUCUGUUAAGUACUGUUGGGAGCUGUUCAUUUCGGGGUUUCGUAGUUAAUAACUGUUUGAUCAUGUUGCUGUGAAUUGCGUAUAUUGAACUGAUUUGGUCUAGGAUUUUAUUUGGGGUUUAUUGACUCUAGACAUGGUUCUAAUCAGGUGACUUAUCUUGUGUUCUUGUCUUAGUACCCUAGUUUAUUUGGGGGUUUGGCCGUUCACAAUCUGUUUGAUUCCCUGUUGAUUGCUUUUUUUUUUUGAAGUGGAUUCCCUGUUAAUUGCUAUGAUUGGCAAAAUAUUUGUCUCCAUUGAGAGUUACUGAUUUGAGUAAUCUUACGUUCUCUAUUCCUGUCAUGCCAUUUGUUACGUUUAGCUGGAAUUCCAGAUAAAUGUUAAGAAGUUUGACUUACGACAAAGCUAGGGCAUCUUAUAUUUAGGAACGGACGUAGUACCUUUUUUGUGUGCAGUACUGUGUCCUUCUGGUCUAAUGAGUUAGUGUUUUGAGUAUUGUCUGGUUCCUUCGGUCCUUCCUAAUGUUUAUAUUGAUUUUUUGGACGGUACUCUAUAUCGUCUUGGUUCUAAUGUUAUAACCCUCCUGUCUUUGUUUAGUUCAUUUAGAAAUGCCUCAUUUUGUGUUAAUGGUGCUAUUAAUGGGCUGUGCAAGUGUACAUUACUGUGUAUUCUCAUGAUGCUACUGCUGCUGUAAUUGUUUGUAUACCGCCCUUCUUGAUUCUAAUGUUGCAUCUAAUUGUUAUGCAUAUUCAUAGCGCAAGGGUUCAUUUCAGUAGGGAGUAUAUUCGCUGACACCACUCCUUUUAAUAACUGUUUGAUCAUGUUGCUGCGAAUUGCGUAUAUUGUACUGAUUUGGUCUAGGCGUUUAUUGAUUCUAGACAUGGUUCUAGUUUCGUUACGUAUCAUUAUGGUCUUGUCUCCGUUUAUCUGGGGAUUUGGCAGUUCAUGAUCUAUUUGAUUCCAUGUUAAUUGUGAUGAGUGGCAAAUUGUUUGCCUCCAUUGGGAUUUAGUGAUGAGACUGGUUUUUCUAUUCUCGAGUGUGUUGCUCCACUAAUCUGGAUCGUCUGACUGAAUGGAAACGGAGGGCAGAUAGGUAUGGGUGACGACAUAUGCAGUGGCUCAGCAGACGGCGUCUGACGGCAUGGACGUUGUUCACGUUUGUCCGAUUGAUGUAGUACGACCUACAAACAAUAGUGAUGUCCAAAAAAAAAAUCCCUGUUUCGUGCACUACACAGCUACGGAUCUGGAUCUCUCUAUACGUUGCACUAAUAUAAUUUUUCCUCCCCCAAACAAUAGUGAUGUCGUACCUACAUGUCAUGUCUGAUUUACUUUGAAUAGUACAAGUAUUUUCCAGAUGCGAUUGAAAGCCAUGACGCACGUGUCCAAAAAGGACGUGAUAUUCGACACCAUGACUGUUGUGUAAUACUCGCUCUGAUCAUAAAUUCUUGACUUAAAUUUGCUCAAAUAUGAAUAUAUAUCUAUUUUUAAAAAACGUCUAGAUACAUGUAAUAUUUCGACAACAAUUUAGGAUCGGAGGGAGUAGUAGAUUUCGAUUGCACCCAAAGGGUAUGGGUUGCAGAUCAGAGAAGUGGUGUGAACUGUUGAUUUUUUUACCAGAGAUUUCAUUUCAUGUGUGUCUAUACAUACAUACAUACAUACAUACAUAUACAUACAUACAUACAUAUAUAUAUACAUAUAUAUAUAUAUAUAUACACACAUUAUAUAUAUAUAUACAAACAUAUAUCGUAGAUCAGAAAAGUGGUGUGAACUGUUGAUUUUUUUACCAGAGAUUUCAUUUCUGUGUGUGUCUAUACAUAUACAUAUACAUCAAUUCUCUCACUCAAAAACAUGUGUUUUCUCUCUCUCUGCACAUAUAUCCAUUCUCUCUUAAGAAUAUGUAUUUUUUCUAUCUAUUCGAUUUCGCCUCUCUCUCCAUACACACACUUUCUCUCUCUCUCUCAAGAAUGUAUGUUUUCUCUCUCUAUAUAUACAUAUCCAUUCUCUCUCAAGUAUAUGUGUUUUGUUUGUCUAUUAGAUUCAUUCUCUCUCAAGCAUAUGUGUUUUCGUGUACUUCGAUUUAGUCUCUCUCUCUCAAUAUAUGUACACACACAUUCUCUCAAGAAUAUUUGUUUUCUCUCUAUAUAUACAUAUCCAUUUUCUCUCAAAAAUAUGUGUUUCAUCUGUUUAUUUGAUCCACGACUACAGUUUCUCUCUUGUACCCAACAUGGAAGGCAAAUUCUCCCGUACCCAAUACUCCAUCCACCUCCAACGGAGCAUUGGGGAAGGGCAUAUCAGUCAUUUCACAUUUAUGCAUUACUAGUAAAAAAAAAAGAAAAACCCCUCACCAGUCACCCCCGAGCCCGAGCCCUGUCAUCCCUGGAUUCUGUCUCCGCCGCCGCCCUCGGCCAGGUUUUUGGGCGGCGGAGGAUAUCCGGGGAGGAGGGGUUCGGAGAAAAGGCGUGGCUGGUUGCCGCUCGGUGUAGGGGGGUGAGAGCAUAUCUCCAGCAGAUACGGAAAGGGGAAAUUUGGACACCCGUUAUUUGUUGGCCUUUGCUCAAACACACUUUUCAAUCGUGUCUUUACUGAGUAUCAUUAUGAUUUUGUGUUCAUUUGUUACAACACAUUUUGACGUGUGGAACUCUAUUGUCAGUCACUCAAUGGCCCUCUUCCCUCUUUGGUUACCAGCCGAGUAACGGCGCCGGACCCGUCCGUACAGAACUGCAGAUGGCCGGCGCAGCAGAACCACAACGAUCCGCCCGAAUCGAUGGGUAGGAAGCCACAAGGAGAAAGAAGCUGCAGAGGAAGAGAGAUCUCGUCUUCCUCGUAGAGCCCACUCCAGUCAUUGUGUCGCCGCCCACACAAGCGCUUGCCGCUGCGACAGUCGAGCCCCGCCGAGCUCCCCUCCGCUGCAGAUGGCCGCGCCGCGCCGACACCACCGCCCGACGCGCACCCCGCCGGCCGCCGUGCCUCGUGCUGCUGCUUUCUUCGCGCCCGACGAGCCCACGAGCUUGCCCGCCUCCACCGCCCGCGAGCCGUCCCUAGCGCCUGCCGCACGCUCACACACCGUAGUGGAGGCAGCCGCACGGGGCUGUGUCGGGAUAGAAAGCCGCGGAGUCGACGUGGGGACGCUGUUGGUGGUCAUCGAAUCGAUUCUCUCCUACGUCUGUGUCGCUUACGUGAAUUCUACACAAGCUAGCUACUGAUCGUUUUUUGAUAGGCUACUUGUAUGCACGCAUCUCGCCGGAGUUCAUCGCCGCGUCGGAAGUAAUUGGCGUGCUGCACGUGUGUUACAAUCUUGUGGUCUGAAACCAACAGGCGCAGGCCGCAGGUCAUGCCAGAGGAGGAAGAAGGUCAUUGAGUGGCUGACAAUGGAGCUCCACAUGUCAGAGUGUGUUGUAACAAAUGGACACAAAAUCAUAAUGGUACUCAGCAAAGACACGAUUGAAGGAUGUGUUUGAGCAAAAGACACGAAAUAACGGUGUUCAAGAGCAAAUUUCCCCAUACGGAAAAGAUGCUCGAUCCGAAAAAUAACCGUUACUUCAAUGGGUUAGGAAAAAAAAACUGUCCGGAAACAAGGUCCGAUCUGAAUUUUUUUCGGGGAUCCGAAUCCGCGGAGGAGAAACCCAAUAUCUUCGGUGUCCAAUCUUGUCGAAACAGGUGACCCGAUCUCUUGAAAACGGUUGGUUUCACCCGUGCUUGUCCAGAAGAGCCUUCUUCCUCCUGAAGCCGCCGCUGAUCCAGCCUCCUCAGGAUGCCGCCGCCGGCCCGCUGCUAGCUCGCGCGCCCCGCCCCUGCUGACUGCACCUCGCUGACUGCAACCAACUUAGUACUCAAACAUUUAAUUUGAUUAUUUCUCAGUUGGCGAGGUAGCAAAGAAGAUCUAGAGGUAAAUCAUCAAUCAUGGAUAAGAAAAAGAAAAUAGACAAAAAUGAAAAAAUUCCGCGACUGGAUUGAGAAGUGAGAGAGAAGGUUGAGAUAUCGAUGCUCUGCUUCGGUGCAUAGCCGGAAAGAAAAUGGAGAAAGAAAAGAAUAAAAAAUGAAUGGGGCCCACUAAAGAUUAGAGGCUAAGCACUAAGCUGCGUUACCAAUUCUUUGGGUAACGUUUUCGCCGUAGCUGGCGAAGUGAGGACGGGCUGGGCGAGCCAAAAUUUUUUAAUUUUUUUUGAGAGGUGGUGAGCCAAUUUUUCGGUAUGGCUCAUUUUGGUUGUAAAACAAACGGGUCCUUUCUGUUUGGCUCGGUCCGUUGGUGAGAUAUAAGUUAACUCUCUCUACCCAGUCUAAUAAUAGCUCAGCCCGUAAAAGAGAAAAGCAUUUCAACACCAUUCGCCCCCCUAUAGUCCCUCCCUACCUCCUCUUUUCUCCAGUCUCCUGAAUCCUGAUCCCCCCAGUCUUCCGAUUCCCCACUGCUAACCCUAGCCGCCAGGCAUUACCGGACAGCCAGGUCGGCGCCACCAUGCCCCCCACGCCGCCUCUAGUCCUAACUCGGCAACUCCUGACCGCCUGCUCGCCAUCGUGCGGCAGAGCCGCUUACAGGAACCGCUGGCGAGAAGACCCCUCAUCGGCUCCUCUCUGGAUACAUCGGCUCCUC